rnacentral:tRNA from 1 species
GAGGGUAUAGCUCAGUGGUAGAGCACUGUGCUUAGCAUCCACAAGGCCCUGGGUUCAAUCCUCAGUACUCAUU